UGAAAGUAACUCACUCGGCAAUGCUCAGCGAUGCUCGGAUAGGUUAUGUUACGGCGUACGUUUGUUCCCCCUCUACAAAUAAAUUUGCUAUAUGAUAAUACCGGAACCACCCAUUUUGCAUUUCUCUCGGACCUCCGUCGCCUCUACAUCCUCCUACAGGAGUUCACACUCCAGUUAGGAUAGAGCUCAAUGCUCAAAGCUCUUUUUUCCUCUUCAGAAUACGUCAUGAAACAAAAUAUCCCUAAGUCAGUAUCUUCCCGUGUCUCAAAAAUCGAAUAACAUCGAUGCCCUACAUUCAGCAAUCGAUAUAUCAAAUUUUCACAAUUGUUUAAUAAACGAUAUACGGCAAAAGGGAUGUCAACGUAUAUUUAUGAAUAUACAGAAAUUUUGUUUUGUCAAAAAUUUCAAUAGUCUCGAUACACCGUGGCUAGAAACCAUCAUAAAAAAUUUCAUAAUUUUCGUAUAUAAAUGCAACAAUGUCAUGUUUCCCAAAAAUUUUAGUAGCCUCCAUACCCCGUGGAUAUAUUCUACAGAAACCAUCAUACCAAAUUUCACAAAUUUCCUUUCAAACCACUCUCAAGAUUCGAACUUAUAUAUUUUCAUCGGUUGUUUUUCGAUUUUGUACGCCCCCUCCCCCCGCCGCCGCCGCCGCAUCAGCGAAAAUAUCGAGAAAACGGUAUCGUUCCGAAUUUCGAACAACAGCAAUGCUUUCGCAUCGUUACAACAGCCGGGAAAGUGAAGAGGAAAAAAAAAAAAAAAGAAAGAAAGAAGAGUAAGACGAUAAUAGUUGGUCGAUUGUAUUACGCAUAGCCGUAAGCUCUGCAGAUGCGUGAUGCGCUAAACGUGACGCGGUACGACGUUCCGCGGGGUUAACCGCGAGGAGAAGGCCGUUUUUGGGCAUCGUUACCAGGAAAAAUCGAUGCCAGCGGGCUGAUAGGACGUCGAAAGUAUGGAUUCAUGACGUAGUCUCUCAAAAGGGCCGGCCCGCUUUUAAGCAGGGGCUUUUCGAAAAAGUUUCCGUGGCCAGGUUGCAGCGAGCCUGCGCACCGAUGAACGCGCAAUGCGACACGCGAUAGAGGAGGACAGGGUGACUGGUAAUCUCGUUAAAAAGAGACGGAGACCGGGGGGAUGGAGAAGCGCACAGCGGCGUUCACGAUUAACGUUAAAUUGCUAAGAGGAUUUCACGAUUACCUGUCGCAUCGCUUGGUGCUCCUGGAGUUUUGUAUUCGGUACUACUCAUUCCUCGAAUUAAUACCUCUGCCAACUGUCUUGUCAGAGUAACUCGAAGACUUUGAGUCGUAGUAGACUCCACAGCAGAUAAAAUUUCCCUUUGCUGUUUCCAGAAUUGGUCCAACAUGCUUUGUAGGCACAUAUGAAGAUUGAGAAGACGAAUAUGUACCUGUUGAUAAAAAAAAUACAUAUGUAUAUAGACUAUGAAUAUACCGUGACAUUUCACUAACAUCAAAAAAUUAACUGAAAAAUGUUUAUACGAAUAAAAGUGAAUAUGAUACUAUAAUGUUAUUUAUUGAUUUUGUUUUAGAUAUUCGUUAUUAGUCAUAACUGAUUAUCAUAAUAUAUUAUUCAUAUACUCACGAAUUAUGGAUAUAACAGUAUUAAUUAGCAUUAAUUAACUGAGAACAAUGUACUGAAAAUCAAUUUACGUCAUCUGUAUUGUUACUAUUUAUGGUGA